rnacentral:rRNA from 1 species
AGAGUUUGAUCCCGGCUCAGGAUGAACGCUGGCGGCGUGCCUAACACAUGCAAGUCGAACGGAUCUGUAUUGAAACCUAGUGAUAUACAGGUUAGUGGCGGACGGGUGAGUAACGCGUGGAUAACCUGCCGUAUACCGGGGGAUAACACUUAGAAAUAGGUGCUAAUACCGCAUGAGCGCACAGCUCCGCAUGGAGCGGUGUGAAAAACUCCGGUGGUAUACGAUGGAUCCGCGUCUGAUUAGCCAGUUGGCGGGGUAACGGCCCACCAAAGCGACGAUCAGUAGCCGGCCUGAGAGGGUGAACGGCCACAUUGGGACUGAGACACGGCCCAGACUCCUACGGGAGGCAGCAGUGGGGAAUAUUGCACAAUGGGGGAAACCCUGAUGCAGCGACGCCGCGUGAGUGAAGAAGUAUCUCGGUAUGUAAAGCUCUACCAGCAGGAAAGAUAAUGACGGUACCUGACUAAGAAGCCCCGGCUAACUACGUG